UCUUAUUAGAUUAAUCCAAUAAAUUUCAUUCACUCCGCAUACUCAAUCCUAUAGACACCCUUUUAAUUCUUCAAUCUCAGACGUAACUCAAUUUCACAAAACAGUCAAGAGUAAUCAAACCCACUUCAUUAAAAAUCUCGAUUCACCAUUACAACACUGACUUCAGCAACGAUUACCUCAGUCUUCCCAAAACCCUAUGA
rnacentral:lncRNA from 1 species